rnacentral:rRNA from 1 species
GACGAACGCUGGCGGCGUGCUUAACACAUGCCAGUCGAACGGAAAGGCCCUGCUUUUGUGGGGUGCUCGAGUGGCGAACGGGUGAGUAACACGUGAGUAACCUGCCCUUGACUUUGGGAUAACUUCAGGAAACUGGGGCUAAUACCGGAUAGGAGCUCCUGCUGCAUGGUGGGGGUUGGAAAGUUUCGGCGGUUGGGGAUGGACUCGCGGCUUAUCAGCUUGUUGGUGGGGUAGUGGCUUACCAAGGCUUUGACGGGUAGCCGGCCUGAGAGGGUGACCGGCCACAUUGGGACUGAGAUACGGCCCAGACUCCUACGGGAGGCAGCAGUGGGGAAUAUUGCACAAUGGGCGGAAGCCUGAUGCAGCAACGCCGCGUGCGGGAUGACGGCCUUCGGGUUGUAAACCGCUUUCGCCUGUGACGAAGCGUGAGUGACGGUAAUGGGUAAAGAAGCAUCGGCUAACUACGUG